rnacentral:rRNA from 1 species
AAAACAUGUCUUUUUGAAAAUAAUUUAAAGUCUAAUCUGCCCACUGAUAAAUAUAUAAAGGGCUGCAGUAUAUUGACUGUACAAAGGUAGCAUAAUCAAUAGUCUUUUAAUUGAAGACUUGUAUGAAGGAUUUAAUGAAAUAUAAUCUGUCUCUUAUUUAUAAUUAGAAUUUAAUUUUUUAGUUAAAAAGCUAAAAUAGAUUUAAAAGACGAGAAGACCCUAUAGAGUUUUAUAAUUAAUUAAUUUUGGGUUAUAUAUAUAAUUUAAAAUUAAAAAUUAAUUAAUUAUUUUAUUGGGGUGAUAAAAAAAUUAAUUAAACUUUUUUUUAUUAAAGACAUAAAUAAGUGAAUAAAUGAUCCAUUAUUAAUGAUUAAAAGAAAAAAUUACCUUAGGGAUAACAGCGUAAUUUUUUUUUUUAGUUCAAAUAAGAAAAAGAGAUUGCGACCUCGAUGUUGGAUUAAGAUAAAAUAUAAAUGCAAAAGUUUAAAAUUUUGAUCUGUUCGAUCAUUAAAAUCUUACAUGAUCUGAG